GCCACGGUAGCUCAGUUGGUAGAGCAGGGGACUGAAAAUCCCCGUGUCCGCAGUUCAAUUCUGUGCCGUGGCACCA
rnacentral:tRNA from 1 species